GAUUGCGAAGGCAGCUUGCUGGACUGUAACUGACGNUGAGGCACGAAAGCGUGGGGAUCAAACAGGAUUAGAUACCCNGGUANNCCACGCCGUAAACGAUGANUGCUAGCUGUUAGCGAUAUACUGUUAGCGGCACAGAGAAAUCGUUAAGCAUUCCACCUGGGGAGUACGCCGGCAACGGUGAAACUCAAAGGGAUUGACGGGGGCCCGCACAAGCGGAGGAACAUGUGGUUUAAUUCGAUGAUACGCGAGGAACCUUACCUGGGCUUAAAUUGCAGUGGAAUAACGUGGAAACAUGUUAGCCUUCGGGCCGCUGUGAAGGUGCUGCAUGGUUGUCGUCAGCUCGUGCCGUGAGGUGUCGGCUUAAGUGCCAUAACGAGCGCAACCCUCAUCGAUAGUUACUAACAGGUUAAGCUGAGGACUCUAUCGAGACUGCCGACGUAAGUCGUGAGGAAGGUGGGGAUGACGUCAAAUCAGCACGGCCCUUACGUCCAGGGCUACACACGUGUUACAAUGGGGGGUACAAAGGGCAGCUACCUGGCGACAGGAUGCUAAUCUCAAAAACCUCUCUCAGUUCGGAUUGGAGUCUGCAACCCGACUCCAUGAAGCUGGAUUCGCUAGUAAUCGCGCAUCAGCCACGGCGCGGUGAAUACGUUCCCGGGCCUUGUACACACCGCCCGUCAAGCCAUGGGAGCCGGGGGGACCUGAAGUAUGCAACCGUAAGGAGCGUCCUAGGGUAAAACUGGUGACUGGGGCU
rnacentral:rRNA from 1 species